GACUGCUAACGUUUCGUCGUGUCUGAUUCUGAAACAAGUUUAUUACAUUCAAAAUCUAUAUAUGAGGCAACAUCAAAAAUAUAAAUAUUCAUUUAAAAAUUGUGGCAAAAUGGUUACCUGUCUUGCUCUGUCUCAUCCAUAAACUCUUCCUAUAUAUGGAAAACAAUGCAUUUAUAAACAAGAUUUGAUGUUCACAUAUCUGUAAAUCACUUUUUUUAGUUAAUUAAACUUAAUGUUUCACAAACAUUCUGUUGUAUAUACUACUUAAUACUAUAAAAUAGAACAUAAUUUGUAAAACAUGAAUGCAUUUGAUGAUUAGAAUUAAUUUAUUUGCUUUUGAA